rnacentral:rRNA from 1 species
GUGAGGAAUAUUGGUCAAUGGUCGAGAGCCUGAACCAGCCAAGUCGCGUGAAGGAAGAAGGAUCUAUGGUUCGUAAACUUCUUUUGCAGGGGAAUAAAGUUCGGGACGUGUCCUGUUUUGUAUGUACCCUGAGAAUAAGGAUCGGCUAACUCCGUGCCAGCAGCCGCGGUAAUACGGAGGAUCCGAGCGUUUUCCGGAUUUAUUGGGUUUAAAGGGUGCGUAGGUGGUUUGAUAAGUCAGCGGUGAAAGUUUGCAGCUUAACUGUAAAAAUGCCGUUGAAACUGUCGGACUUGAGUGUAAAUGAGGUAGGCAGAAUGCGUGGUGUAGCGGUGAAAUGCAUGGAUAUCACGCAGAACUCCGAUUGCGAAGGCAGCUUACUAAGCUACAACUGACACUGAAGCACGAAAGCGUGGGGAUCAAACAGGAUUAGAUACCCUGGUAGUCC